rnacentral:rRNA from 1 species
CACGUAAGCAACCUGCCUCAAAGACCGGGACAACAGCCCGAAAGGGCUGCUAAUACCGGAUGUGGCCAUUCCCUCGCAUGGGGGGGUGAUUAAAUCGAGCAAUCGGCUUUGAGAGGGGCUUGCGGCCUAUCAGCUAGAUGGUGGGGUAACGGCCUACCAUGGCGACGACGGGUAGCUGGUCUGAGAGGACGACCAGCCACACUGGCACUGCGACACGGGCCAG